CGACCUACGGGGGGCUGCAGUGGGGAAUAUUGGACAAUGGGCGAAAGCCUGAUCCAGCGACGCCGCGUGGGUGAAGAAGGCCUGCGGGUUGUAAAGCCCUUUCGGUAGGGACGAAAGCUCUUGCCCCAAUACGGCAGGAGGUUGACUUAACCUACAUAAGAAGCACCGGCUAACUCUGUGCCAGCAGCCGCGGUAAUACAGAGGGUGCGAGCGUUAAUCGGAAUUACUGGGCGUAAAGCGCACGUAGUCGGCGUUGCAAGUCGGGUGUGAAAUCCCCGGGCUCAACCUGGGAACGGCAUCCGAGACUGCAUUGCUAGAGUAUGGGAGAGGGAAGCGGAAUUUCUGGUGUAGCAGUGAAAUGCGUAGAUAUCAGAAGGAACAUCAGUGGCGAAGGCGGCUUCCUGGACCAAUACUGACGAUCAGGUGCGAAAGCGUGGGGAGCAAACAGGAUUAGAUACCCGUGUAGUCA
rnacentral:rRNA from 1 species